rnacentral:rRNA from 1 species
AAUUAUAACUCCACUACCUCGUAACAAUUUCCACCCAUACUUGUAUUUAAGCGCGCUUGGGAUAGAGUAGUACUGGGAUGGGUGACCUCCUGGGAAGUCCUAGUGUUUUACAGG